rnacentral:rRNA from 1 species
GACGAACGCUGGCGGUGUGCUUAACACAUGCAAGUCGAACGCUGAAGCUUGGGGGUUGCACUGGGUGGCUGAGUGGUGAACGGGUGAGUAAUACGUGAGUAACCUGCCCUUGACUCUGGGUUAAGCCUGGGAAACUGGGUCUAAUAUUGGGUACGAGAUGCUACUGCAGGGUGGUGUGUGGAAAGGGUUUUCCUGGUUUUGGAUGGGCUCGCGGCCUAUCAGCUUGUUGGUGGGGUAAUGGCCUACCAAGGCGACGACGGGUAGCCGGCCUGAGAGGGUGACCGGCCACACUGGGACUGAGACACGGCCCAGACUCCUACGGGAGGCAGCAGUGGGGAAUAUUGCACAAUGGGCGGAAGCCUGAUGCAGCGACGCCGCGUGAGGGAUGACGGCCUUCGGGUUGUAAACCUCUUUCAGCACGGAAGAAGCGAGAGUGACGGUACGUGCAGAAGAAGCGCCGGCUAACUACGUG